rnacentral:rRNA from 1 species
GUAGGGUGGGCAAGCGUUGUCCGGAAUUAUUGGGCGUAAAAGCGCGCGCAGGCGGUCCUUUAAGUCUGAUGUGAAAGCCCACGGCUCAACCGUGGAGGGUCAUUGGAAACUGGGGGACUUGAGUACAGAAGAGGAAAGCGGAAUUCCAAGUGUAGCGGUGAAAUGCGUAGAGAUUUGGAGGAACACCAGUGGCGAAGGCGGCUUUCUGGUCUGUAACUGACGCUGAGGCGCGAAAGCGUGGGGAGCAAACAGGAUUAGAUACCCUGGUAGUCCACGCCGUAAACGAUGAGUGCUAAGUGUUAGGGGGUUUCCGCCCCUUAGUGCUGCAGCUAACGCAUUAAGCACUCCGCCUGGGGAGUACGGCCGCAAGGCUG